rnacentral:tRNA from 1 species
CGGGGCGUAGCUCAGCCUGGCAGAGCGGCCGGCUGUAGACCGGCAGGUCGGGGGUUCAAGUCCCCCCGCCCCGACCA